CACAUUUCAAAAUUGUCACUUUAAUUGGAAAAACUCUUUAACCCACAACAAUCCAUAACAUACACAUAUUAUCCUUUGGGGGUGGGGGUAAAAAGGGGUGUGACAUACAUCUCCUAUCAAUUUCUUUCAUCACACUCUGAGGCAAGAUAAAGACUGUCUCCCAAAAACUGUAUAUAGAAAAAAUUAAACAGCAUUCUAAACGUGUAGUCGACCUGCAUAGGAAAGCUUCCUUGAGUAACCAGUGUUGAUUUUUCUUGUAAUCUUAUCCACCGGAAUCUUGCAAUCUACCUUGUUCCAUUUCUUUGGGGAAAGGGGUAGUCCAAGAUAUCUCAUGGGAAUUAACGUUGUGGAAAACCUAUUUGCUGUAGAAGAGACUCUCUGGUGGGUUCAUCCACCCCUUCCAUGAAGAGACUAGACUUCUCCAUAUUGACUACAAGCCCUGAAGCCUGGCUGAAGUGAAUCACAGCUUCCAUGAUUCCUUUAACUUAUUUUGUGUCUGCUUUGCAAAAAAUCAUAAGGUCAUCUGCAAACACCAAAUGUGUAAGCUGAUGGUGCUUACCCAUAGGGUGGAAUCUAAAAUUGGUAAAGCACUCAUAGAUUUCAGUAGUCUUAUCAAAUACUCCAUAACCAACACAAAUAGGAGGGGUAAAAUAGGGUCUUCUUGCCUCAAUCCCCCUCUACCAGCAAAGAAACCAUGACAUUCUUCAUUUACCUUUAGUGUAAAGUGAGGGGAGGUCACACAAGUCAUAACCAGUUGCACAAACUUAGGAGAAAACUGUAUCCUAGUAAGGCCUCUUGCAAGAACUCCCAACUGACCAUGUCAUAGGCCUUCCUAAGCUCUAUUUUCAUUAAACAUCUAGGAGAGAUCUUUCUAUUAUAAUGCCUUAGUAAAUCAUGGCAAAUUAGAACAUUGUGGACCAGUGACCUUCCCUAUAGAAACGUUGUUUGGUUUUCUGCCACUAUAACACUAAUGGCCUUUCUCAACCUGACACACAUCAUCUUUGAGAUAAUUUUAUACAAUAUAUUGCAGCAUGAGAUUGGUCGGAACUGUGAGGCAUAUUCAGGAUCAUCAACCUUAGGAAUCAGAGCAAUGUUAGUAGUGUUCAGCUGUUUUAAUAGCAUUUCAUUCUGGAAAAAUUGCAAAAUGUCCUUUGAUAUGUCUUCCCCCACAAUGCUCCAGGCAGACUUGAAGAAACCACUACUAAAUCCAUCUAGUCCCGGGCUCUUAUUGCUAUCAAUCUGGAAGAGAGCUAUCUUGACAUCCUUACCAGUAUAAGGCCUCAAUAAUUCUGUUUGAUGAUCCUCAGAUAAUACCGGUCCUUGGUGUAGGAAACUAAGGAAUGCUUUAACUCUAGAAUUAGCUUUCUACCCAAGAAGAUCCUCAUAGUACUUGACAAAUAAAUUGUCUUGACAUCCUUCAGUUGUGUAGUACAUUACUUUAGCUUUUUAUGCUUAAUGACAGAAUAGAAAUACUUUGAGUUGUCAUCCCCAAGCUUGAUCCAUGUAUCCUUGGCCCUUUGCUGAAGAAACAUCUCAUUUAUGUAAGAGCUUUGCUUGAAUUUCAGUCUCUUAAUCACUUGAAACAUCAAAUAUCCUUCUACUUGGACAUCCCAUCCAGCUUUUACAACAUCAAGGAACUGGGGGUGUUGAGCCCAUGCAUUAUAAACUUUGAUGUUGUUGCAGGGACACUACCAUUGUCUCAAAUAGAUCGCAAUAUGUUGAUUUCAUAUUGCUAUACGCAGAAUCCGGAUUUACAAUGAUGGUGCCAAUCAAAGGUGAUAAUAGCGAUAGUGCAUGUGUAUUCUUGAAUCCAUUGACUUGGAAGCUAUGGUUAACAAGCUUCUAUUCUUUUCUUUUCUUUGGCUUUGUCAUUUGGCUACUUUAACAUAGAGUAAAUGGAGACUUCAGAGGACCUCCUUGUCACCAAGCUGGCAUGAUCUUUUGGUUCUCCUUCUCAACUAUGGUCUUUGCACAAAGUAAUUAAUUUCCUUGUCCUCCGAUCCUUAAUUUGUAUUCUCUCAUAACAUUUUAUAUCAUACUAAUUCCUUUUUAAUUUGUUCUAUCGUUAAUACUACCUUUUAUAUUUAAAAGUUCUUUAACUUUAAACUUCUCAUUUUACCUCCAGUGCAAUGUUCUUACAGUCAUAUAAAUGUCAUGGUAUAUAUGUUUAAAACCACAAGUUGGCAUUUUUUAUGUGUCAAAAAUCUUUUUUCUUUCUUAAACGUCAUACCCAUUCAAACACCGUCAUUUAAAUUGAGGACAAGCUGUUGAAGGCGAGACUUAGAUGGUUCGGGCAUAUGAGGAGGAGAGGCACAGAUGCUCUCGUGAGGAGUUGCGAGAGGUUGGCUUUGGAGGGCCUGAGGAGAGGUUGAGACAGACCAAAGAAGUAUUGGAGAGAGGUGAUUAGGCAGGAUAUGACGUUGCCCCAACUUAGGGAAGACUUGAUCAUAGAUUAUAUUGGAAGGUAUGGAGUUUGAGAAUAAAGGUAAAGAGUUAGGAUAAGUAGCCAAGCGUUUUCCUAUCAUUAACAGUAGCUCUAGUACAUGACUUAGUGUCCUUUGUGUAUUGUCGUAUCCCUUGACUUCUGUUGUUACUUGUUGUUGCUUUCAUUUCGGCUUUCUGAUUGCAGUACCUAUUGUUAGUUUUGUGUUUUUGCUUUGAUUUUCUGAUUGGUGUGCUUGUUGUUGCCUUUCUUGAACCGAAGGUCUACUGAAAAUAGCCUUUCUGCCUUCUUGAAGGUAGGUGCAAGGUGUGUGUACACUCUGCCCUCCCCAGACCCCACUUGUGCGAUUACACUAGAGGAGAAGAUAGUAAGCAAUUUGGCUAGGCUUGUGGUAGCUAUCUGGUUUCUAGCUAGUACUGCUAAUAUUGACGUCAAUCUACAUAACAAGUCUGACAUCAAUGCUAACAUUUGAAAAACUCCAGCCAUUUGCUAGAGAUGUAAAAGAACUUCUGAAGAACAAGGAGUACGCGGGCUACCUACAGGGCUCUUUUGUACCGGGACUUGUAAGAAAAAUGAACUUUGAUGAAGACAGGCUUAAAGGAUAUAGAAGUCCUGAGGAAUAUGUUGAUUUACACUCUAAAGGCAGUGCGAAUGGUGUUGUUGCUGUUGUUUUUGAUGAGAUUCGUUUAUGUGAAGCUUGUCCUUUCAAAUUAUUGCUCGAAAUUUACCACCGUUGGACCUACAUAUAAGGCUGAUGGAUUUGGCAUUGUAAGUAACUCCUCUUUUUCUCAAUAUAUUUUGUUGUUGUUAGUACAAGA